GAGUGCUUGCACUCUUUGGACGUCGACCGGCGCACGGGUGAGUAACGCGUAUCCAACCUUCCCAUUACUGUGGGAUAACCUGCCGAAAGGCAGACUAAUACCGCAUAGUCUUCGAUGACGGCAUCAGAUUUGAAGUAAAGAUUUAUCGGUAAUGGAUGGGGAUGCGUCUGAUUAGCUUGUUGGCGGGGUAACGGCCCACCAAGGCGACGAUCAGUAGGGGUUCUGAGAGGAAGGUCCCCCACAUUGGAACUGAGACACGGUCCAAACUCCUACGGGAGGCAGCAGUGAGGAAUAUUGGUCAAUGGACGGAAGUCUGAACCAGCCAAGUAGCGUGCAGGAUGACGGCCCUAUGGGUUGUAAACUGCUUUUGUAUGGGGAUAAAGUUAGGGACGUGUCCCUAUUUGCAGGUACCAUACGAAUAAGGACCGGCUAAUUCCGUGCCAGCAGCCGCGGUAAUACGGAAGGUCCAGGCGUUAUCCGGAUUUAUUGGGUUUAAAGGGAGCGUAGGCUGGAGAUUAAGUGUGUUGUGAAAUGUAGACGCUCAACGUCUGAAUUGCAGCGCAUACUGGUUUCCUUGAGUACGCACAACGUUGGCGGAAUUCGUCGUGUAGCGGUGAAAUGCUUAGAUAUGACGAAGAACUCCGAUUGCGAAGGCAGCUGACGGGAGCGCAACUGACGCUUAAGCUCGAAGGUGCGGGUAUCAAACAGGAUUAGAUAUCCUGGUAGUCCGCACAGUAAACGAUGGAUGCCCGCUGUUGGUACCUGGUAUCAGCGGC
rnacentral:rRNA from 1 species